rfam:Plicaturopsis crispa FD-325 SS-3 unplaced genomic scaffold PLICRscaffold_1, whole genome shotgun sequence.
GGCAACAUGGCCGAGUGGUCUAAGGCGUUCGACUCAAGUGCAUCCACUUAGCUGUACAGACGGCUUCGAAUCUCGAAAGAGGCGUGGGUUCGAGUCCCACUGUUGUCA